UAGCGUUUAGCUUUGAACAUUUCUUAAUGAAAUACUAUCGGAUUUACUCGGCUAAAUAAUGAACGUGAUGUCUUGAAAUAUUUAAUUUUUUUAUGUAAAUAAAAACAACAGUACUCAUAUAGUUCUCUAUCUCAAGAUUUCCUUUGGUUCUCACUAUUGUGUUUAUUUUAGCCUAGAACAAUUCUUGGAUUCAUGAGUGCUUUAGAAAAUUCAU
rnacentral:lncRNA from 1 species